rnacentral:rRNA from 1 species
UACAGAGGUCUCGAGCGUUAGGCGGAAUCACUGGGCUUAAAGCGUGUGUAGGCGGAUCGUUAAGUACCUUGUGAAAUCCCACGGCUUAACCGUGGAACUGCUUGGUAUACUGGCGGUCUUGAGCCAGCUAGGGGCUACCGGAACAAAUGGUGGAGCGGUGAAAUGCGUAGAUAUCAUUUGGAACGCCAAUGGUGAAAACAGGUAGCUGGGGCUGUGCUGACGGCUGGAGACACGAAAGCCAGGGGAGCAAACGGG